UGACAAGAAAUCAUGAGCUUCUUACAAUUCCAUCUUAACCCUUAGGAAGUUCAUCUUGUACAUUGUCUUAUGGAAAUGGCCGAACUCGAAGAAGAUGAUAAAGGAACCAGCCUGCACUCUAUGAAUGAGGAAAGAACCAAAUAGGUUCCCUUUUGGAAUCUUCAUUUGAGCAAGAUUUAUAACUCUAUUAUUUUACUGAGGACGCCAUGGUCGAGCACUGAAAAGAAGCCUCGACCUCGGAACUUCAUGGGAGGCUGUUUCAUGAGUCCUUGGAUUCCUUUAUUAACUACAAGUUGAUUGAUUGUGUUUUCUCUACUGUCCAUUUAGGAAGAAGAAGAAGAAAAGGGACAA